rnacentral:rRNA from 1 species
UACGUAGGGUGCAAGCGUUAAUCGGGAUUACUGGGCGUAAAGCGUGCGCAGGCGGCUAUGCAAGACAGAUGUGAAAUCCCCGGGCUCAACCUGGGAACUGCAUUUGUGACUGCAUGGCUAGAGUACGGUAGAGGGGGAUGGAAUUCCGCGUGUAGCAGUGAAAUGCGUAGAUAUGCGGAGGAACACCGAUGGCGAAGGCAAUCCCCUGGACCUGUACUGACGCUCAUGCACGAAAGCGUGGGGAGCAAACAGG